AUUGAACGCUGGCGGCAUGCCUUACACAUGCAAGUCGAACGGCAGCACGGGUGCUUGCACCUGGUGGCGAGUGGCGAACGGGUGAGUAAUACAUCGGAACAUGUCCUGUAGUGGGGGAUAGCCCGGCGAAAGCCGGAUUAAUACCGCAUACGAUCUACGGAUGAAAGCGAGGGACCUUCGGGCCUCGCGCUACAGGGUUGGCCGAUGGCUGAUUAGCUAGUUGGUGGGGUAAAGGCCUACCAAGGCGACGAUCAGUAGCUGGUCUGAGAGGACGACCAGCCACACUGGGACUGAGACACGGCCCAGACUCCUACGGGAGGCAGCAGUGGGGAAUUUUGGACAAUGGGCGAAAGCCUGAUCCAGCAAUGCCGCGUGUGUGAAGAAGGCCUUCGGGUUGUAAAGCACUUUUGUCCGGAAAGAAAUCCUUGGCCCUAAUACGGUCGGGGGAUGACGGUACCGGAAGAAUAAGCACCGGCUAACUACGUG
rnacentral:rRNA from 1 species